CGCCCUUAGAGUUUGAUCCUGGCUCAGGACGAACACUGGCGGCGUGCUUAACACAUGCAAGUCGAGCGGGGAUAUCUGGAGUGCUUGCACACUGGAUAUUCCAGCGGCGGACGGGUGAGUAACGCGUGAACAAUCUGUCCCAUACAGGGGGAUAACAGAUGGAAACAUCUGCUAAUACCGCAUAAGACCACGAUGCCACAUGGCGACGGGGUAAAAGGAUUUAUCCGGUAUGGGGUGAGUUCGCGUCCGAUUAGCUAGUUGGCGAGGUAACGGCCCACCAAGGCGACGAUCGGUAGCCGACCUGAGAGGGUGAUCGGCCACACUGGAACUGAGAGACGGUCCAGACUCCUACGGGAGGCAGCAGUGGGGAAUAUUGGGCAAUGGGCGAAAGCCUGACCCAGCAACGCCGCGUGAGGGAAGAAGGUUUUCGGAUUGUAAACCUCUGUCCUCAGGGACGAAGGACGUGACGGUACCUGAGGAGGAAGCCCCGGCUAACUACGUGCCAGCAGCCGCGGUAAUACGUAGGGGGCGAGCGUUGUCCGGAAUGACUGGGCGUAAAGGGCGUGUAGGCGGCUUUUUAAGUCUGGAGCGAAAGCCCCAUUUUCAAGGUGGGGAGUGCUUUGGAGACUGGAGAGCUUGAGUGCGGAAGAGGUAAGUGGAAUUCCCAGUGUAGCGGUGAAAUGCGUAGAGAUUGGGAGGAACACCAGUGGCGAAGGCGACUUACUGGGCCGUAACUGACGCUGAGGCGCGAAAGCGUGGGGAGCGAACAGGAUUAGAUACCCUGGUAGUCCACGCUGUAAACGAUGAAUGCUAGGUGUAGCGGGUAUCGACCCCUGCUGUGCCGGAGUAAACACAAUAAGCAUUCCGCCUGGGGAGUACGGCCGCAAGGUUGAAACUCAAAUGAAUUGACGGA
rnacentral:rRNA from 1 species